rnacentral:rRNA from 1 species
AUUGAACGCUGGCGGCAGGCUUAACACAUGCAAGUCGAGCGAGCGGCGGACGGGUGAGUAAUGUCUGGGAAACUGCCUGAUGGAGGGGGAUAACUCCUGGAAACGGUAGCUAAUACCGCAUACGGUCAUAGGUGCUCAGAUGGGAUUAGCUAGUUGGUGGGGUAAUGGCUCACCUAGGCGACGAUGCCUAGCUGGUCUGAGAGGCUGACCAGCCACACUGGAACUGAGACACGGCCCAGACUCCUACGGGAGGCAGCAGUAGGGAAUAUUGCACAAUGGGCGCAAGCCUGACGGAGCAAUGCCGCGUGAGUGAAGAAGGUCUUCGGGUUGUAAAGCACUUUCAUCGAGGAAGCGUUACCCGCACAAGAAGCAACGGCUAACUACGUGCCAGCAGCCGCGGUAAUUC